GCAGUGUUUGUAUUACCAUUAUCAUUAUUAAUAUUACCAGUAGUGGUAGUAGUACUAGAAUUGAUAUU
rnacentral:sRNA from 1 species